UACAGAGGUCCCGAGCGUUGUUCGGAUUCAUUGGGCGUAAAGGGUGCGUAGGCGGCGGGGCAAGUCUGAUGUGAAAUCCCGGGGCUCAACCCCGGAACUGCAUUGGAUACUGCCUUGCUAGAGUACUGGAGAGGGAACUGGAAUUUACGGUGUAGCAGUGAAAUGCGUAGAGAUCGUAAGGAAGGCCAGUGGCGAAGGCGAGUUCCUGGACAGUUACUGACGCUGAGGCACGAAGGCCCAGGGGAGCAAACGGG
rnacentral:rRNA from 1 species